rnacentral:rRNA from 1 species
ACGCUGGCGGCACGCCUAACACAUGCAAGUCGAACGAAGUAGCAAUACUUAGUGGCAGACGGGUGAGUAACAUGUAGGUAUCUGCCCUUUGGCCUGGAAUAACACGAGGAAACUUGUGCUAAUACCGGAUAAGUCUUUACGGAGAAAGCUUUAUGCACCAUUGGAUGAGCCUGCACUUGAUUAGUUUGUUGGUGGGGUAAUGGCCUACCAAGACUGUGAUCAAUAGCUGAUUUGAGAGGAUGAUCAGCCACAUUGGGACUGAGACACGGCCCAAACUCCUACGGGAGGCAGCAGUGGGGAAUCUUGCACAAUGGAGGAAACUCUGAUGCAGCGAUGCCGCGUGAGUGAAGAAGGCCCUUGGGUUGUAAAGCUCUUUCGUCGGGGAAGAAAAUGACUGUACCCGAAUAAGAAGGUCCGGCUAACUUCGUGCCAGCAGCCGCGGUAAUACGAAGGGACCUAGCGUAGUUCGGAAUUACUGGGCUUAAAGAGUUCGUAGGUGGUUGAAAAAGUUAGUGGUGAAAUCCCAGAGCUUAACUCUGGAACUGCCAUUAAAACUUUUCAGCUAGAGUAUGAUAGAGGAAAGCAGAAUUUCUAGUGUAGAGGUGAAAUUCGUAGAUAUUAGAAAGAAUACCAAUUGCGAAGGCAGCUUUCUGGAUCAUUACUGACGCUGAGGAACGAAAGCAUGGGUAGCGAAGAGGAUUAGAUACCCUCGUAGUCCAUGCCGUAAACGAUGUGUGUUAGACGUUGGAAAUUUAUUUUCAGUGUCGCAGGGAAACCGAUAAACACACCGCCUGGGGAGUACGA